GACGAACGCUGGCGGCGCGCCUAACACAUGCAAGUCGAACGGAGCUUAGAGAGCUUGCUUUUUAAGCUUAGUGGCGAACGGGUGAGUAACGCGUGAGUAACCUGCCCUAGAGUGGGGGACAACAGUUGGAAACGACUGCUAAUACCGCAUAAGCCCACGGGUCGGCAUCGACCAGAGGGAAAAGGAGUAAUCCGCUUUGAGAUGGCCUCGCGUCCGAUUAGCUAGUUGGUGAGGUAACGGCCCACCAAGGCGACGAUCGGUAGCCGGACUGAGAGGUUGAACGGCCACAUUGGGACUGAGACACGGCCCAGACUCCUACGGGAGGCAGCAGUGGGGGAAUAUUGCACAAUGGGGGGAACCCUGAUGCAGCGACGCCGCGUGGAGGAAGAAGGUCUUCGGAUUGUAAACUCCUGUUGUUGAGGAAGAUAAUGACGGUACUCAACAAGGAAGUGACGGCAACUACGUG
rnacentral:rRNA from 1 species